rnacentral:rRNA from 1 species
GAACGCAGCGACAGGCCUAACACAUGCAAGUCGAGGGGCAGCACAAGGAGCAAUCUGAGGUGGCGACCGGCGCACGGGUGAGUAACACGUAUGCAACCUGCCUGUGAGCGGGGAAUAACCCGUUGAAAGACGGACUAAUACCGCAUAAUACUAAAUUACUGCAUGGUAAUUUAUUUAAACAUUUAUGGCUUACAGAUGGGCAUGCGCAUGAUUAGCUAGUUGGAGAGGUAACGGCUCCCCAAGGCAACGAUCAUUAGGGGUUCUGAGAGGAAGGUCCCCCACACUGGUACUGAGACACGGACCAGACUCCUACGGGAGGCAGCAGUGAGGAAUAUUGGUCAAUGGACGAGAGUCUGAACCAGCCAAGUCGCGUGCAGGAAGAAUGUCCUAAUGGAUUGUAAACUGCUUUUGCAGGGGAAUAAAGUGCAUCACGUGUGAUGUUUUGUAUGUACUCUGCGAACAAGGAUCGGCUAACUCCGUGCCAGCAGCAGC